rnacentral:rRNA from 1 species
AACGAACGCUGGCGGCAUGCCUAACACAUGCAAGUCGAACGAGACCUUCGGGUCUAGUGGCGCACGGGUGCGUAACGCGUGGGAACCUGCCCUUAGGUUCGGAAUAACUCCCCGAAAGGGGUGCUAAUACCGGAUAAUGUCUUCGGACCAAAGAUUUAUCGCCUUUGGAUGGGCCCGCGUUGGAUUAGCUUGUUGGUAGGGUAAAAGCCUACCAAGGCGACGAUCCAUAGCUGGUCUGAGAGGAUGAUCAGCCACACUGGGACUGAGACACGGCCCAGACUCCUACGGGAGGCAGCAGUGGGGAAUAUUGGACAAUGGGCGAAAGGCUGAUCCAGCAAUGCCGCGUGAGUGAUGAAGGCCUUAGGGUUGUAAAGCUCUUUUACCCGGGAUGAUAAUGACAGUACCGGGAGAAUAAGCUCCGGCUAACUCCGUG